CGUUUAAACACAGAUUCCCGUACCAUCACCGAAGUUAAGCAACGUCGAGCCUGGUUAGUACCUAGAUGGGUGACUGCUUGUGUAUACCAGGUGUUGGAAG